rnacentral:rRNA from 1 species
UGAAGUCGGAGUCGCUAGUAAUCGCAGAUCAGCAACGCUGCGGUGAAUACGUUCCCGGGCCUUGUACACACCGCCCGUCACGUCACGAAAGUCGGUAACACCCGAAGCCGGUGGCCCAACCCGUAAGGGAGGGAGCUGUCGAAGGUGGGACUGGCGAUUGGGACGAAGUCGUAACAAGGUAGCCGUACCGGAAGGUGCGGCUGGAUCACCUCCUUUCUAAG